GCGGUGGAGUAUGUGGUUUAAUUCGAUGCAACGCGAAGAACCUUACCUGGUCUUGACAUCCCGGAGACCCUUAGGAAACUAGGGGGUGCUUCCAUCUGGAAGAAUCUGGAGACAGGUGCUGCAUGGCUGUCGUCAGCUCGUGUCGUGAGAUGUUGGGUUAAGUCCCGCAACGAGCGCAACCCUUGCCUUUAGUUGCCAGCAGUUCGGCUGGGCACUCUAAAGGGACUGCCGGUGUUAAACCGGAGGAAGGUGGGGAUGACGUCAAGUCCUCAUGGCCUUUAUGACCAGGGCUACACACGUACUACAAUGGCCGAUACAAAGGGCAGCGACACUGCGAGGUGAAGCCAAUCCCGUAAAAUCGGUCUCAGUCCGGAUUGGAGUCUGCAACUCGACUCCAUGAAGUUGGAAUCGCUAGUAAUCGUGGAUCAGCAUGCCACGGUGAAUACGUUCCGGGCCUU
rnacentral:rRNA from 1 species